rnacentral:rRNA from 1 species
AUUGAACGCUGGCGGCAGGCCUAACACAUGCAAGUCGAACGGUAGCACAGAGAGCUUGCUCUCGGGUGACGAGUGGCGGACGGGUGAGUAACGUCUGGGAAACUGCCCGAUGGAGGGGGAUAACUACUGGAAACGGUAGCUAAUACCGCAUAACGUCGCAAGACCAAAGUGGGGGACCUUCGGGCCUCACACCAUCGGAAGUGCCCAGAUGGGAUUAGCUAGUAGGUGGGGUAAUGGCUCACCUAGGCGACGAUCCCUAGCUGGUCUGAGAGGAUGACCAGCCACACUGGAACUGAGGAACGGUCCAGACUCCUACGGGAGGCAGCAGUGGGGAAUAUUGCACAAUGGGCGCAAGCCUGAUGCAGCCAUGCCGCGUGUAUGAAGAAGGCCUUCGGGUUGUAAAGUACUUUCAGCGGGGAGGAAGGCGGUGAAGUUAAUAGCUUCACCGAUUGACGUUACCCGCAGAAGAAGCACCGGCUAACUCCGUGCCAGCAGCCGCCGCAG